AACGAACGCUGGCGGCAUGCCUAACACAUGCAAGUCGAACGAGACCUUCGGGUCUAGUGGCGCACGGGUGCGUAACGCGUGGGAACCUGCCCUUAGGUUCGGAAUAACUCCCCGAAAGGGGUGCUAAUACCGGAUAAUGUCUUCGGACCAAAGAUUUAUCGCCUUUGGAUGGGCCCGUGUUGGAUUAGCUAGUUGGUAGGGUAAAAGCCUACCAAGGCGACGAUCCAUAGCUGGUCUGAGAGGAUGAUCAGCCACACUGGGACUGAGACACGGCCCAGACUCCUACGGGAGGCAGCAGUGGGGAAUAUUGGACAAUGGGCGAAAGCCUGAUCCAGCAAUGCCGCGUGAGUGAUGAAGGCCUUAGGGUUGUAAAGCUCUUUUACCCGGGAUGAUAAUGACAGUACCGGGAGAAUAAGCACCGGCUAACUCCGUG
rnacentral:rRNA from 1 species